GUACCCGUGGCCUAGUGGAUAACACUGCUGUUUUUGAAAUUUUCAACGGGGGUUCGAUCCCCAUCGGGGUCA